rnacentral:rRNA from 1 species
AUUGAACGCUGGCGGCAGGCUUAACACAUGCAAGUCGAGCGAGCGGCGGACGGGUGAGUAAUGUCUGGGAAACUGCCUGAUGGAGGGGGCUAACUACUGGAAACGGUAGCUAAUACCGCAUACUAUCAGAUGUGCCCAGAUGGGAUUAGCUAGUAGGUGGGGUAAUGGCUCACCUAGGCGACGAUCCCUAGCUGGUCUGAGAGGAUGACCAGACACACGGGAACUGAGACACGGUCCAGACUCCUACGGGAGGCAGCAGUGGGGAAUAUUGCACAAUGGGGGAAAGCCUGAUGCAGCCAUCCCGCGUGUAUGAUGAAGGCCUUCGGGUUGUAAAGCACUUUCAGCGAGGAGGCGGUACUCGCAGAAGAAGCACCGGCUAACUCCGUGCCAGCAGCCGCGGUAAUAC